GCAAGAUUGAAUCGGGAAAUAUAGGACGGCCCCCCAUGAACAAGCCGGACAUCCCUGUUACUGGAGGCCAGCUGAUCGACUGGGCCAAGGAACAACAGCAGCUGCUCUACAACACACGAGGGGAACGAAUGAAGCUACAGAAAUUUUGCCCCCAGUGACCACAGACUCCCCCUCAGAAAACUUUCUUUUGCACCUAAAAAAAUUCAGUCACUGGACAUGUUGCAGGAAUUGAUGUAGGACCUCCAUUGCUGGCAUUACUUUGUAAACUAUUAAAGAAUUCUGUCGAGAUUGAAAAGAAAGCGAAGUUAAGUUAAAAUUUAAACAACAAGUAAAACCAUGCUGGAAAAUAUAGAAAAGCUGAAUGUGCUUUGAAACUGGUUUACGAAUGUCAGGGAAAACGGUCAUAUUUUACUUCACCUAUUACUGUGUGAUUAAAAAUUGCAUAAUUUAGCUUUAACUUUUUAUAAUUCAGAUACAGUCUGACCUCCAUGUAUCGAAGUAGCAAAUUUCUAGAAAAAAAUUCGAUAUAUAGAAACAAUCUUAUUUUAUCCUUAAAAUCUCCUAAAACAUUAAAAUUAACGUUAACUUUCGUGUAUGAAACCCCAUCUUUAAUUUAUACGAGCAUCGGAUUAAAUAAAAGUUAAUAAUUUAAAAAAAAAAAAA